UACGUAGGUGGCAAGCGUUGUCCGGAAUUAUUGGGCGUAAAGCGCGCGCAGGCGGUUCCUUAAGUCUGAUGUGAAAGCCCACGGCUCCACCGUGGAGGGUCAUUGGAAACUGGGGGACUUGAGUGCAGAAGAGGAGAGCGGAAUUCCACGUGUAGCGGUGAAAUGCGUAGAGAUGUGGAGGAACACCAGUGGCGAAGGCGGUCUGCUGGGCCGUAGCUGUCGCUGAGGCGCGACAGCGUGGGGAGCAAACAGG
rnacentral:rRNA from 1 species